rnacentral:misc_RNA from 1 species
GAAAUGCGAUAAGUAAUGUGAAUUGCAGAAUUCAGUGAAUCAUCGAAUCUUUGAACGCACAUUGCGCCCGCCAGUAUUCUGGCGGGCAUGCCUGUUCGAGCGUCAUUACAACCCUCAGGCCCCCGGGCCCGGCGUUGGGGAUCGGCGGAAGCCCCCUGCGGGCACAACGCCGUCCCCCAAAUACAGUGGCGGUCCCGCCGCAGCUUCCAUUGCGUAGUAGCUAACACCUCGCAACUGGAGAGCGGCGCGGCCACGCUGUAAAACACCCAACUUCUGAAUGUUGACCUCGAAUCAGGUAGGAAUACCCGCUGAACUUAAGC